rfam:Gossypium hirsutum cultivar TM-1 unplaced genomic scaffold scaffold39.1, whole genome shotgun sequence
AUCCCAUGGUGAGGGCACUUUCACAAUAACUCCUUAAAUUACUCCAAUGUCUCAUACAGUGAUUCGUCAUCAAGUUAUUGGAAUGCAGUGAUCUCAUUUCGAAGCUU